ensembl:misc_RNA Y_RNA Y RNA
GGCUGGUCCACUGGUAGUGGCCCAUCAGAACUUAUUCACAGCAGUGUUACUAACGUUGGUAUACAAUCCCCCACUGCUAAAUUUGACUGGCUUAAA